GGUAGACGGGAGAGGGGGUAGAAGAAGUGAAAAGGAGAAGAAGAAGUGGUCCGAGAAGUAGAGGGGGGUGAUAGUAGGGGAAGGAGGAGAGAAGUUUCUGGAAAAAAAUCAGAAUUUCUGAUACCUGAAACAGGAAGCAGCAUGGUACAGUUUGACUGGAAAUGGCGUUGUGUGAAGUCAUGACUACCACUUAUUUACCAAACCUUGCACUAGACGGCUAAACAUGAAUCCGGAGCUGUCACCAAGGGCCAGCACAAAACCGGAUAAACACUGCACUACAGUAACAAUUAACAUUGUUAUCAGCACUUGUUCACAAGUAUAGCACGUAUUAUACUGUACUUCACCACAAGCGCUGAGAGCACUCACUUUGGACUUGUGAUCGUGUGUGUGUGUCUAAUUGUGCGUGUUAGUACUGUGCUUAUUGUUUAUGGGACUGCAACCCUUUUGACUACUGUGCAAUAGACAUUGUUGUUCAUUGCCAGU